AUUUCAUGGAGGGUCCAAGCCACAACAUAAACACCAUUUUAGAUGGUAUAACUUAAGUCAGACAUGGUCAUGUCAGAGUAAAGCAAUGACAAGGGUCUUCAAGGAGGCAUUUAGUGAACAUUCUUCUUGUUUCAGGUUUUCAAGGUCAUCUGUACUUCUGAAUGUUGAGUGUCAGAAUUCUUUCAACAAAAUGUCCUCUGAGUACUUAGCAGGGCUCACUGUCCUGAGAAAAUUCAACAAAAAACGAGGAACUUCACUUGUGAGAUGUGAAAAUGGAUCUUCUCUGUGAAGUACACAUAGACACCAUUAUUUGCCAUCUCCAAUGUCAAUUUGUGAAGGAAUUCCUCACCUCUCAGAUCAUCUACUGUCAUCAGGGCUACCCAUGUCCACUCAAAGUGAGUCGUCAAUCUGACCACACCUUUAUGUAGGGAAGAGUCCCUAGGGGCCAUUUGGUAAAGAGAAGGAAACUGCACCUUGUCACUCAGCAUGGGAUCAAAUGGCCCAAAGGUGAUCUGGAUGUGAAAGAAGUAUUGGGAAAUCUGCGAUCUAAGAAUGUGAUUACGAUGUAAGUGUAAAUGUGGGAUUGAAACCAAUCAACUCCAUUUAGAUUUGAUAUUUUAAUUGGGUGAGACUACAUCUGAAUCAAAACCUUAAAUUAAUUUUCUUUGAAGUCACUGAUUGCGCAAAAUGAGGGUGAACAGGAUAUCUAUUUCAAUAGCCUGGGAAAUGGGUUCGUGCCUCUAGAGAUCAUCUAUAGGUUGUCAGUGGAGCUCAGAGGAGAAAGUAAUUCCAGAAAUUGUAGUGGAUGACUGUCAACAAACCUCUGCAAUGCAAAGCCAAGAAUGAGCCAUAGAAAAAAAGACAGAAAUCAAGGAGAGUCAUAGGCUCUCACACUGUGGGAAAUGCCAAGAAAAUAUUGGCUCUUUCAUCUGCUUCCCCUUCGUGUGCCUGUCUAUCCAGAGACCUACAAUGUAACCUGUUGUUUCAUUACUCAAACAUUUAGGGUAAGCCCAGGUUUUCUUCAACCAUAAAGAAGCCAGAAGUUGAUUAGAGAUAAAUAUAAAUGUAGUGUUAGACAACUUAUCUUUACAUAUCAAGAUGUUUUUAUUGUAACUGAACUUAUCAUAACUUUCAACAAAACUCAAAAAAUGAAAAUGAAGGAACCACAGGGACACUUAAACAGGCCAAUUAUUUUAAUGGUGUAAAAAUUAAGUGUGUAAAAGUCCCCAUUCUCCCCAUGGCAUCUUUUCCAUAUUAGGAGAAAGGCUGUGGAUUUCACUGAGAUACCUAAUGCAUUUUGCUUUCCCUAAACCUUUGCAUUUAUUCAUUUACCCAAGCCAUCUAGAAGACAAUUGUUUAUUAUAGAAAAACAAUCUGAUUUUUCUGUUUUAUCUGCUUCAUAAUGUGUGCUUUACAUCUCAAGCCCAAAUGGCACUGAGAACAUAUUCCUACUUCUUGUCCUGUUUUUCCUGCUAUGGUAGAUUCCCCAGCUAAAAUUAUUGUACUUUACUUGUAGUGGGUAUGAUAUAUGUAUGCAAAAUAACAAAACAAAAUUGAACACCAUGUGCACGUGUGUUUGUGUUUGCAUGUGUGUGUGUAUGUUCAUGAGACAAAGAGCAUGGUUGAUAUCAAAGUGAAUUUGCAGUGUUUAAAUGUUGAACUAGGACAGCUAGGUGGCACAGUGGGUAGAAUGUCAGGUCAAGAGUCUGGAAGACCUUAGUUCAAAUCCAGUCUCAAACACUUACUAGCUGUGUGAUCCUGGGCAAGUCAUUUAACCUUGUUGGACAUAGUUUCCUCAUCUGUAAACUGAGCUGGAGAAGGAAAUGGGAAACCACUCUAGUAUCUUUAGCAAGAAAACCCAAAAUAAGGUCAUGAAGAGUCAGUCAUGAAUAAAAUGUAUGAAAAACAACA
rnacentral:lncRNA from 1 species